GGUGAUGGGAAACCAAACAUGGGAUAGUGAUGAUGAUAAGAUCACUGAAGCACAGCUACUCUUCGACAUGGAAAUGAUGGUUUGUGGCAUUGGUAAGGAGAGAAACGAAAAGGAGUGGGCAAAGCUCUUCUUUGAUGCUGGAUUCAGCAACUAUAAGAUAAACCCUGUAUUAGCCCCUGAGCUCCUAUUGAAGUUUAUCCUUAAUUAACAACUUGAUUUCAUAUAUGAUAAGAGGAAAUAAGAUCAAUACUGAACCAAUAGAAG
rnacentral:misc_RNA from 1 species